rnacentral:snoRNA from 1 species
UGGCUCAGUGCUGAUCACUGUUGCGUAUGAGUCAUUCAAGAUGAAUAUACAUAGUUUUUGGAACUCCAAGAUCCAG